AUUGAACGCUGGCGGUAUGCUUAACACAUGCAAGUCGAACGGUAGCAGGCCUUCGGGCGCUGACGGGUGGCGGACGGGUGAGUAACGCGUAGGAAUCUGCCUGGUAGUGGGGGACAACUUAUGGAAACGUAAGCUAAUACCGCAUACGCCCUACGGGGGAAAGCAGGGGAUCUUCGGACCUUGCGCUAUCAGAUGAGCCUGCGUUGGAUUAGCUAGAUGGUGGGGUAAAGGCCUACCAUGGCGACGAUCCAUAGCUGGUCUGAGAGGACGAUCAGCCACACUGGGACUAAGACACGGCCCAGACUCCUACGGGAGGCAGCAGUGGGGAAUAUUGGACAAUGGGCGAAAGCCUGAUCCAGCAAUACCGCGUGUGUGAAGAAGGCCUGAGGGUUGUAAAGCACUUUCAAUAGGAAGGAAUACCUAUCGGUUAAUACCCGGUAGACUGACAUUACCUAUACAAGAAGCACCGGCUAACUCCGUGCCAGCCGCCGCAGUAAGAC
rnacentral:rRNA from 1 species